AAAAAUCUUUCUAUUUGUAGUUCAGGGGAUUGAACCCAGGACCACACACUUGCUAUAACACAAACUGUGAUGAAACUGAAGUGGAAAUACAUGCAAGGACUGCAGACAACAUAAGAAUUGAAAAUUCAAAUGAACAGCACAAAUAGUUGGAGUACAAUUGGAAGUGUAGAAGGAACAAUUCAUUAUAGGAAAGCCAAACAAACCAUCCAGAGGGAGAGGUCACAGAAACAACAAUAAUGAUUGCGUAUGCAUGUGCUUUUGUGGACAGAAUGUCCAGGUUGCAGAAACCAGAAGACUCUGAGUAAGUUGUGUUUAUGUAAUAAUUUCUAAAAAUGGUACAAAAUGGGAGCAUUGAAAGAUGUUGUUUUCUAGGCUGGCAAAUAGAGUCAAGUCUUAGUUCAUAAAGUUAUAGAUAGGUCAAGGCAACUAGUUAUCUAUGGACCUUCUGUACAUAAUCACAUAUUAUGUGGGCCUCAUUUAUUUCAAAUUUAUAUAGGUGCUUUGGUUGUGCACAAAAGAAGCAUGAAUAAAUCAUCUGAGUUUAAGUUAUUCAGUUAUUACAAUCAAUUUCCACAUGGAGAAACUUUUUUAUUUCCUUUUUAACUUUCAUUACACAUAAUUAGCAACCAUAACAUUCAUUGUAGGGAAUUGGUACAUGCACAUUACACAUUUCAAUUCUUGUUUCCUCUUUCCCUCCACUCCCUCUUUCAGGUAAAAUAAAAAUUUUAAUGUAAAAAUGUUUGCCAUUAUUUGGUAGUUUAAUUUUGAUUUAUUUUUACUAUAUCUCAGGCUUAAAAAAAGGAAUUGCCCUUAUUUGAGUCAUUUUGGACCAAGAAAAAUAGGAAAAAACAAUUGUAAAACCAAGCCAGGACUCAAAAUUUCUUACUGAGAUGGAAUAAAUUGUUUCCAUGUACACUUCUUUGGCUAAAGCUUAAUCACAUAGGAAAAGAAGCAAGCCAGAACAGGUAUAUAAUUCUGCUUCAGUGAAUGGUAGAGGAUACUUGAAGACUCCUUGAAGAGUACCUGGUGUUUUUCUAAAGCCUUUAGUUAAAAGUAAUUCUCAUGGCAGAGCGGCAUAUUUUGGGGUUGUAUAUUCUGUCUCCUUUCAUGAGGAA
rnacentral:lncRNA from 1 species